GUCGACCACAUUCCUGCUGCCGGUGAUGAUUGUUUUAGUUCUCCCGUCUCCGAUGAACAUUAUGUUGCUCUUCUUCUUUGGGACUUCCACGUUUUCUAUGUAGACGCCUGCUUUGAUUCUAAUAAUAUACCUUUUGCUGCUUUUCUCCGGUGCUUUGGCGACCGCUUCCGACACCGUUUUGAAGUUCCCGCUACCAUCGGCCGCCACAACCACGUUGGGGGUCACCGAAGACGACUGAAGCAGGCGCCUGUCGCCAGCGGACAACCACUCUGGCCAGGCAAUGCCGCUUUCGUCCUCCUUCAGCUUCCUGUUCGAUGACUUGAGCAUCAUCUCGUUUGCAAUAUCAGUGUCCGUCAUGUUCUUGAUCAUGGCAAGCGCAUUACUGCACAUCUU
rnacentral:lncRNA from 1 species